AAAAAGAGAACCAGCACAUUACAAAGCGACCAUCCCCACAUCCAUUCCUAGGACGGGCCCUCAGGGCGGUGGGUGCAUCGUGAGGAGGGAGCGGCAUGGGAUGUUAGCACCAGGUAUUUACAGAACAGCUCGAGAGCGCUUCAGGAACGCGGGCAAGUCCAAUUUGCAGAGUGGCCAAAUGAGCAGUCCCCACCCAGCCAAACCUCAGAAAGCCAAUCAGAUGGUUUCAGAACAGCAGCCAGUGGGAUAUUCUCAGUCAAUCAAUUGGUGUUUGCUAGAACCGGGGUACGCAGGGGAGUGUUGAAGAGAGAGUGCGCGCGCGAGAAGAGAGAGAUCAAGAGAACGGGCAUCGCCAGCUGCCCGGGGGGCCUUCACUUUGCAGUCAUCAUCUGUACAAACUCUGUGGAGUGAAGCAGAGAGAGAGGAGAGAUCAAGCCUGGCCUUGACUCACCUUCAUAAUUGACCUGGCCAUCUCCAUCGAUGUCAGCCUCCCUGAUCAUCUCAUCCACCUCCUCAUCGGUCAGCUUCUCCCCCAGGUUCGUCAUUACGUGACGCAGCUCUGCGGCGCUGAUGUAGCC
rnacentral:lncRNA from 1 species